rnacentral:rRNA from 1 species
CCUUCGGGGUGCUGCAGUGGGGAAUAUUGGACAAUGGGCGAAAGCCUGAUCCAGCCAUGCCGCGUGUGUGAAGAAGGCCUUCGGGUUGUAAAGCACUUUCAGUGGGGAAGAAAGCCUUGGGGCUAAUACCCUCGAGGAAGGACAUCACCCACAGAAGAAGCACCGGCUAACUCCGUGCCAGCAGCCGCGGUAAUACGGAGGGUGCGAGCGUUAAUCGGAAUUACUGGGCGUAAAGCGCGCGUAGGCGGUCUGAUAAGCCGGUUGUGAAAGCCCCGGGCUCAACCUGGGAACGGCAUCCGGAACUGUCAGGCUAGAGUGCAGGAGAGGAAGGUAGAAUUCCCGGUGUAGCGGUGAAAUGCGUAGAGAUCGGGAGGAAUACCAGUGGCGAAGGCGGCCUUCUGGACUGACACUGACGCUGAGGUGCGAAAGCGUGGGUAGCAAACAGGAUUAGAUACCCUGGUAGUC